AGCCACUGAAGGGUUUUACACAAGGGAGUGAGAUGAUCUGAUUUCAUAUUUUUAGAAGAUCAUUCUGGCCUCUGUGCAGAGGGCAAGAAUAGAAGAAGAUCAGGUUAUCACAGUGGUUCAACAAGAUGACUGCAGCUCGGAGCUAGAGAUGACAAAAGCGGAGGGAUUUAGCAGGUCUUGGGGAAGAGAUGGCAAGACUUGCUGAUGGCGUAUAUGAAGGGAAUGACGGGGACAAGAAGGAUCGAGAGCGACACCUGAAUUAGACUGUAGCAGCUGUGCAGAGUGUGCUGUCACCCACUAAAGUGGUGAAGACCACAGGAGAAACAGGUCUGGGGGACAGAGAGUGGGAGGAACCUAAAGUUCCAUUGGGGCAUAUUAGGUUGGUGUUGCUAUUAGACAUCUAAGUAGAGAGCACAAGAGCCAGUGCACUCCACGAGCCUGAAGCCUGAUGAGUGCACCAGGGUUGGGACUCCAAACCUGCUGAUCAUCUGCAAAUGAAUGACGUUUAAACAGAGCAGUAGAACAGAUAUGCUGUGGCAAAUGAGUAUGGAAGGAGGAUGGAGAAAGACAAGAAGGGAAGAGGAGAGAAGAGGAAGGAAGGAGGAAAGAAUACAGCUCCACAUCAUGCUCAGGAGUGCUCAAUGGGAGGAGAGGGAGAAACAGCAAGUGAUUUAGGUGGGAAAUCCACCCAGAAAAUCCACCCAGCAGAGGGUGUGAGAUAGAAGCUGAGAAAAGAGAGAUUGAAGAAAGUGCUGAAGGUCAAGUCAGAUAAAUGCAGCAAGUGACUGGGUUUGGCAAAAGGGAGAUAGUUAAUAACUCUGACUGGAACCAUUUCAGGGGCAUUAUGGGUAAAAAGCUCAGCUACAGUGAGCUGAGAGGAUGAGGAUGAGAAAGCGGAGACGGUGACUCUAGACACUUUAAAGACAUUUUAUUGUGGAAAAGCAAGGCCAGAAGAGGAAGAAGGUCAAGAAAGAGGUUUUUUGGCUUUGUUUUUAAGAUGCAAGAUUCUGGCACUUUCAUAUGCCAAUAGAGUUGGAGAGAGAGGCGCUGGUGGCCAGAGUAAGGUCUUGAGAAUGUGAAUGGGGAUGGGAUCCAGGCACAAGUGGAGGGUUAGGGUUGGCCUAUGCAAGGACCCGGUCCUCUACUGUGACCACAGGGAAGACAAACAUUCAGCAGAGGCAGGGUGGAUGGUAGAGUUGAUUAUGAGAACAUUCUGGCAGUUUUUAUUUUCUCAGUGAAGUCUGAGAGAAAGGCGUCAACUAGACAUGAGGAGAGGAGGAAGCAAGUGUUGGAGCUUCAGGGAGAGAGAAGCUGUGAAAUGCUUCCUCGUACAGCAGGACAGUGAAUGACCAAGGGAAGUGUAAGCUGGCUGCCGGGCACUGUGGAGAGCGCACCCACGUUUGUGAUCAUGAGUUAGAGUGAGACUAGUUUCUAUACUUGUGCUUUGUCACUUUAAGCUGCUCAGAGUAGCUAAUGGUGGAUGAUACCAUGGCAGGACUUUUGACCAGGAACAAAGGUGCUUCAGGGAUGUACAUUCCUGGCACCUGAGGGAACAGAGAGAAAGCUUGUUGUAGGAGUCGAUACAUCUCUCCCAGCAUCCUUUCCUCUCUUCCUUGUCCAUAACAGAAUCCAGUUUUGUUCAGGUGUUCACCCAGCUCAUGAGACUCAUGGGAAUGAGAAACCGAACUCAUCUCCAGCUCCAGGAGUGGAUGCUCACGUUCUAAACCAAUCAGCACAUGCCAUUCCUCUGAUGACGGCUGUGAAGUAGCCCAGGGGUGGACGCGGGGCCCAAGUUGGGACAGUCAGGUGGAAGGGAAGGACCCAAUUCCAUGGGUGGACUCCCAUUGUUUCUCUCUCCCACUUGACAAGAAAAAGGAAACCUGAUGCCCCAGCUCUUGGCCACAGUUGCAAGACAGAGCUGAUGCAGCAGCUAGCAGUGGAGAGAUGGAAAUAAUCUGGGGCCCUGAUGACAUAGUUAAAUCCCUGAAUUAAUCAGCCUUAAAGCCCAUCUUACUUCUAAAUUUCCUGUUAUUUGAGAUAAUAAAUCUCCCUAUUUUUAAAAAACCAGCUUAAGUCAGGGUUUCUGUGCUUGCAGCAAAAGCAUCCUCAUGGACACAAUUGUUUUUCUGUAUUUACAGUAUAUCAGAAAUCCUCAAACUGGACAAUGCUCACCUCGCCCUCAGAUAAACAUCCUGCCUCAUGGCAGAGCAAAUGCUCGUGUCCAGGAAGCAGGUCUCAGGGCCACUGGGGCUCUGCUGCUCCCACAGUUUCAUUUACCAAGAGGCAGAAGUCCACAAAGAAUUCCAGUCAGCUGUCGCAUGCUUAGAGAAGAGAUCUUGUCUCUUUAAAAUAUUGCCAAAUGAAGCUAGCUGCCGGACCAGGGGCUUCUGUGAAGACACGUCCACUGUUCCCCUUCAGCUCCCUCUUUCACCGCCAACCCACUGCCAUCAAACUCUCCCCUUUCUCCACCAUCAGCACUUGCUUUUACAAAAUUAUCAUUACAAUAACAAGAGGACCUUUCAUUUUAAUAAAAGAUCUGGAAGGAUCUACACUAAAGUGUUAGCUGCUAUUUCUGCGUGAAGAGAUUAUGGAAUUUUUUUCUUAUUAUCAUGUAUGUGAAUAAUUAAUUAUGCAAACUAGUAUUGAUUUGGUGAUAAGAAAAUAAAAGUAAAAGUUUUUUCCCCUCCAAGAAAAAGAAUGCUUCAUCUUUUUAUGAGAAUUUACUCUCUAUAAAGGACUUUUAGUUCCAUUGCAUCAAUGGCACUUCCUAACCACCCUCUGAAUAAAUCAUUUAUUCCCACUUACAGAUGAGACCACCAAGAGGGAGAGAAGGGAAUUGUUUGGCUGCGGGUGACAAAGCUAGUAA
rnacentral:lncRNA from 1 species